GGAAGACAGAGUUCCAAUGCUGCUUGCAGAUUUCAGGGAAGAAGGUGUGUGGGCACGAGAGCCUGGGCCAUUGAACCCUCUCAUCUGCACAGAGGACUCCACCUGACUCCUCACCUGCCUGCCCUGGCCCAGGUGACAAGACAGCUGCUUUCUGCAAUUGGCCGGGCACCCUAGCAGUGAACACCACCUUCCACAGUGCAGGCUGGACGUGCCCUGUGUCUCCGCUGUGCACCUGCUGUCAGCAAGAGGCCCACAAAGGCAAGCUUGCUGGACAGAAGACAGGAGAGCAGCCUCCUCCCCAGGGGAGAACUCCUGAAAGCGUGAGCAGAAACGCACUCCACCACCUGGGAGAGUCAACUGCAACGCAGGGUGUGCUGGGGACAGCCACUGUCCGUGAGAAGACAGGGAGGGCAGACAGUCUGUUUUUAACAAAGACAGAGAUCUUGUAUAUAUGUAGACACACAUACAUAUAUACUGAGCCAUGCCAUGUUUAAAUUAUACUGCUGUUUUGUGCUUAAUAUUCAUUUGUCACUUUC
rnacentral:lncRNA from 1 species